AGUUUGGCUCAAAAGUGUAUCUUUUGUCAUAUUUCUUAUCAGCUUAUGAAGAUACUCUCCAUUGUACUUAGCUCCUGUCAAUGCUUUUGUUAUGUUUAUCAGCGGUGCAAAUAUUCCACUGCAUAUGUUAAGUGAUAAUCCAAUUAGUUCUUUUAAUAUAAUGUUCAACACUUUAUAUUAUAUGCACAUAUAUAUAUUGGAAGUAGUUACAAAUUUGAAUAUAUAUAUAUAUAUAUAUAUAUAUAUAUAUAUAUAUAGAUGGACCUUUUUUGUGGAAAAAUAGAUGGCAAGUUUUGAAGGUAAAAUGGGACAAUUUCCUUAGCAGCAAAUAAAGGACGGUUAUCCUUUGGAUUUGGAGCUGCUAACAUGGUAGUAAUAAGACCACCUGUACUUGUCCCAGCAAUUACAUCAAAAUAAUCUGCAAUCCUUGCAUCCUCACCGUCUAUUUCCUGUAAAGUAAUCAACAUAUAUAUAUAUACAUGUAAAUAAUGUAAAACUAUAUCAAAAUUAAUUAAGAUAUUAAUAUUGAUUAAUAAAACCUGAAGUUGAGAUUCAAGGUAAGCAAGAAUAACACCAGGAAUGAUUCCUCUGACGCCUCCACCAUCAAUGCUAAGAACAGUAAUGAAAUUCACUGGCUUAAUAUCGAGGUAAGAUAUGGGGGUUGCCAUUGAUAUAUGUUGGAAAAAACAAAUUACAAAUAAUCAAAUAGGUCUUGCUGUGUGUGAGUAUGGAUGGAGAACUUGAUGCUUUUAGGCUAUGUCCAUGUUUGUAUUUAUACCCCAAAAUUCGAAGAGUUUCAACAUUAAUUACACGUUUCUAUAGCCAACUUAAAGACUAUAUAAUAUUUAUUUUUUUAACCAUGAUACAAAGUUUUUAUUCUCGAUUAACGAUGACUAAUCUCUAUCGAUGUGAGGCGAGUUCUAUUCUUCCAAUUUACCGGUUGCUUAGGGAUUAAAUCCCUUACGAAUUCAAUAGUGAUGAAAGACUAACUACUUUAAAAAUAAAAAUUUUAAUUACUAUAUUUUACCUAAAAGAUAUAAAUAAAAGAAUGGUCAUGUUAAUUAGUUAAAAAAGGACACUAGUUAAGAAAGUUAAAAGUAAAAAAAAAGAAAUUUAUUAAAAACAACGAAUAUUUUACUUAAAAAAAUUGAAUACAAAACUUUUUCGCACUUCUCAAUACUAUAUUUCUAUAUUGCAUAUAAUGUGUGAAUUUAUUAGCACUGGUUAGCAUUUUUCAUAAAAGAAGUACAAGAGAAAUGAACACUUGCGAUGGUAAUGAUGAUAUAUACACAAUGAGACAAGUGUUGGAAGAUAAAAUAUUAUAGAAAUUGGAAUUGUUGACCUUUUAAACUCACACCUUGUAGGAAACAUCCUUAAAAAAGAAUCCGUGGAAAACAUGUUAUCUUUUUUUUAGGAAGGAGUCACAGUAAUAUGAAGUUGUUUUUAGGUAAGUAAAAUUUUAUAAAAAAUUGUUUCCACACUAAUAGGAUUCGAGUUUGAUAAGAUCCAUCAUAAUGACAAUUUAUUAAUCAUUUGAGUUAAAUCACUUGGUUAUAAAUGUAUUAUUAUUAGAUAGCUAGUAUAUCAUAUUCUUAUUAAACUCUUUUAACAUAAAUAUAAUCUCUAUAUGCCAUGAUCGGCAAUCGUAUGCUAAACGUUUAUGAUAGAACCUAUCAUAAAACAAAUAACAACGUUAUUUAAUGUAAAUUGGGUAUCCUUCGUGCCCGCAACUGCAGAGACUAAUUCCUAAAAAUUUUAAUGUUGGUGCAUGUUCAAGGUUUGAUUUGAAUCCAGUGCCUUAGUUAAACUAAAAGAAAUUCAUAUCAUAUCAUCUAAGCAUUAUUGGGUAAACAAAUUAAAACGUUUAUCAUAGGAAGCAAUUUUCUUAGUCAUUGAAUAUGCAUAAUAGGACAUAUUUGCAGCAAGUUGUUGCUUAAACUGUUGGUUGUUGAUCGUUGAAUAUGCAUACGAGGAGCCAUUGGCGCAUUCUCAUCCCUUUAAAUAAUAUAAUAAUAUGUCUUCAGACAGUUCAAAACAUAUUAUAAUAUUUUGGUUCAAUAUCACCUCCUUCUAAUGUUUAUCUGAAACCUUUGUGAACGUUGGAUUUGACAAAACUUCUAGAAAAAUGCAAGACCAAGUGUAUAUUGAUAAAAUCCAUUUAAAAAAAUUAUGUCUACAUUAAAAAAAAAAAAAAAAAAACUUUCUGAAUGAAUAUAAGUAAGCUUGCUUUUCAGUUUAGAGCUUAGAGGUGUAACAUCCUCUUCCUAAGGAUUAUUUUGUCUAAGAUCUAUUUUAAUUAAAUUUAGAGAAUAAAGAAUUAAGAUAAAAUAUAAUAUAUGAGAGUCAAAUAAGAAUCUCCUCUUAAUCGAACAAAAAAUAUCGGAAGAGGAUAACUCUAAUUUGGCAUGCAACAAUUUAGAAGAUGUAGUAGGUUUGGAAUGAGUUUAAUUCUUCCUCGAACAUUUCGAAAAAGAGGAAGGGAUAGUAGACAUGAUCAAAACUAUAUCUUGGAGGUGGUUCCUCGCUAAAAAGUAAGGGGGGGAGGAGCUUGUAUGUAUUUUGAAUGGUUUUUGAACUAUCUCAUUUGCCUUAAUUCAAAAUUAGGGUUUUUUUUUUUUUUUGUUUUGGGUAGAAUGUCCCUUGUACUUUUUCCGACUUAUGGGUUAUGUAGAUUUUGUACUUUUCUCAUCCUUUCAUUAAAUAUUGAUGUUAAAAGAAAUGGUUUUAUCAAGAAUUAAGGGAGGAGGAAAGCUUUACGGAGAAUGUAAAGUAGUUCAGAAAUUGCACAAAGAUCGGGGAGAGUUUUGAUCCUCACAAAGAUCAGGGAGAGUUUGGCUCAAGCUAAGAUUAUUGCCUUUGCAUGACAACUAUAUAUUGUCGCAGGGUUCUCCCCAUGUGAAGCAACAUUAACUACAUUUUUUACUUUAGGCAACGAAACUUGUAGUCACUUACAAGAGUUAGUGUGACAUUUGAUCGUGACUUGUAACUUCUUCCUCUGAGUUUUGUAUAAGUCUUCAAGUCGUCAAUGUUGGAGUUGGUGAUGUUACCUGAGCAGUUUGGGUUAGUCUUUAUAAGUUGUCAUCGAGACUCGAGCUCGAAGACACUAUUCAUUUUUUUUUUUUUAAAAAAGCUCAUUUGUGCAAGUUUUAUCAUAGGCAAUGGUGUAUCCAGAAUUCUGAAAAAGGGGUGCUGAUUAUUUAACUUCAAUAUUAUUAUUAUUAUUAUUAGACAUAUACAUGUUUGUCCCAACUUUUGUAAUAUGUCAUUUUAUGUCUUGUACUUUUUGAAAUAUGUCAUUUUUGAUCCACUUUCGCCAUAGUAUGUGGGACAUCUUUUAAGUUACUUUCAGACUUACUUAAAAUAUUACUAUCGAGGCUGCUUUGGAGUUUAUUUAAAUAGAUUUUAUUUUCCAGGCUGCUUGGAGUUUGUGUGGGUUGAAAAAACUCAUUCCACAAUAUAUAAUGGAUUAUUAUAUAAUUUUUCAAUUGAACACAACAUACAUGUUGAAUUAAAUGAAAUCUUUAGAUUUCUUAUUUACUUUGAAAUUUCAAAAUACAGAUAGGUAGUAGAAAAUGUUACACACAUGAAUUGUUAAUUAAGCAAAUUAAUUAAGAGAUAAAGCUUCAACAAUGGAUCGACAUAUUCAAUCUUGUUGUGAUCAAUUACUUGCCAUUUUGUGGGUUGGACUUUUUGCAUUUUCUAAUCUCUGAGAGUAAAUUAGCAAACCUACAAUGCAAACAUAUAUACCAUUAGUUUUAGACGAUUUUGGAGCUUUUUUACCCUUAGUUGGGACUAAUACAAAAUAAAUAAGUUAUUAUAAAAUAAAAGUAAUUACCUUUUGAGUUCUUCCUCAAUGGUGCCUUUAUAUGGAACUAUUUCAUAUAUGCCAGUAUCUAAAUUCACUCGAGUAAAUUUUUUCUUCAAUAACUGCUCACCCACUUUUACUAGAUUAUUCAAAUUCUCUUUAGUAGAUAUAUCUACAGAAGCUAAUUCCCCCUGUAAUGUAUCGUCCUAUUUCAAAAAAAUUAAUUAUAUAUAUGAGAAAUAGAAUCACACAAGAAAUGUACUAUAGAUAAAAUUUGGUCAAAUAAAAUAAAAUCUAGCUGGCUAUCAUAUUAAAAAAUUCAUUUGUCAACUUAGGAACUGCCCGCACACUUGUGCAGGCAUUAUCCAAAUUCCCUCCAUCCAUUUGUUUAAGAAGUAGAUUUUAAUAAGAACAGAAUUUGAUUAAUAUAUUAAUUAUUUAUUUAAAGAAGAAAUCUUGGGUUCCAAGAAAGAGGGAUCCAGACCACCAAUGCUCAAUAGACAUUGAUUCAAAAUUUAAAUUAAAUUAAAAAUAACUAAACAUAAAAAAAUGACAUGAUGACAUCCAAUAGAAAGAAGUAUAAUUUUGCUGAUAUUUGAAUUCCGGUAAGUUUGACAUAAUCGCGGUGAUUUUGUUAAAAACUACACUUCAGAGCUUCAACAAAAUCACUAAAUAUUUCAUUUUGAUUUGGUAUAAUUCCAAACAUGUGCUUAACUUACUUGAAUUCUAAGGUAGUUGUCUUGAGAUUGAAGGGCAGUAAAAAGGACAGCGUUAUGAUAAUCAACCAUAUCAUUGCUUGCCUCAUUGAAACAAUCUAGUAUUGGAGUUGAUCCAUUGUUGAAUAACCAAGUUAAAGCACCCCAUUUAGCCACCAUCUUAGCAUUGUACUUGCGCUCACUUUUGUUUGAUCCUGUCCCUAAGGAUAUAACAAUAAAACGAUCAUACCCUAUACCAUUGUCCCCACUCCCAUCUGGUUUCCUUAUGAUAUGCUUUGUCACUUCUCUUAUUGCAACCAUACUCUGCAAUAAAUCAUAUGUGUCGUCAAUCAAGAGUAAGAUCACUAAAGUCCUCGUUUUAGAUCUACCAGCAAAAAAAUUAUUUUUUACUAUAUUUUAUAAGCAAAAAUGUCUCCUAUACAGACAAAAAAACACCAUAUAUCAAAACUUGCUUUAAACCUGAGUUACUUUUGAAGAUUAUUAAUGAAUCGACCCUGGUCCUUACAAAAUUAGUAAUUAAUUUGUAAACUAAACGAUAUAACUAUAUAUAAAAAAGAAAAAGAAAAAAGAUCUUCUCUUCUUUUUAACAUGGGAUUUGAGUUUUUUUCAAUAUGCUUGGUCCUUUGAGCCAGAACUUUACCGGAUUGUUAGCAGCCACACCACCGUCGAUGAGAUUGUAUUCUUUGAUGACAUUCCCAUGUUCAUCUUUUUUUUCGAAAUAGUGAGCUGGUAAAUAAGUUGGAGCAGCCGAUGUAGCUAUGCAAAUAUCUGAGAGUAGUACAUCUAAUGCUGGCUCAGCUUCAAUCUACAUAAAAUAUAUACAUAUAAUCAAAUUAAAGAUGACUGAAAAAUUCAUAUAAUUUAAACGUGCAUGCAUGACUGUGUUAUGUUUUGUAUGCAAAAACAAGAAUCAACCAUAUUUAAUUAACAAAAAAAAACUACCUGGUAGGAGGAAAAAAUGGUAGGUUGAAGUUUUUGAACAUCAAAAGAUGGAAUAACAACGUUCGUCAAAGUUUGGCUCAAAAGUGUAUCCUGUGUCAUAUUUCUUAUCAGCUUAUGAAGAUACUCCCCAUUAUACUUAGAUCCUGUCAAAGCCUUUGUUGUGCUUAUGAGGGGUGCAAAUAUUCCACUGCAGAUAAUAUUAGUAUUGUUAGUUUUUAUGUCGCGGCCUCGUGGCGGGUGAUUGAGGAUGGAACCCUUAUUGACUCCUUAAAUCCCACACCCCAACCAGAUUUUCAUAUAUUUAUACUUUAUAUUAUAAUUUAUAUGCAUGCAUUCAUAUUGUAAUUAUAUAGAUAUACACCAAAAAUUAAACAUACAGACCUUUGCUGUGGAAAAAUAUUUGGCAAGUUUUGAAGGUAGAAUGGUACAAUUUCUUUAGCAGCAAAUAAAGGACGGUUAUUAGCCUUUCGAUUGGGAGUUGCUAACAUUGUAGUAAUGAGACCACCUGUACUUGUCCCAGCAAUUACAUCAAAAUAAUCUGCAAUCCUUGCAUCCUCACCGUCUAUCUCCUGUAAAUUAUUAAUCAACAUAUAUACAUGUAAAUAAUGUAAAACUAUAUCAAGAUUAAUUAAGAUAUUAAUGAAGAAUAUAUUGAUUAAUAAAACCUGAAGUUGAGAUUCAAGGUAAGCAAGAAUAACACCAGGAAUGAUUCCUCUGACGCCUCCACCAUCAAUGCUAAGAACAGUAAUGAAAUUCACU
rnacentral:lncRNA from 1 species